CCUACGGGCGGCAGCAGUGGGGAAUAUUGCACAAUGGGGGAAACCCUGAUGCAGCGACGCCGCGUGAGUGAAGAAGUAUUUCGGUAUGUAAAGCUCUAUCAGCAGGGAAGAAAAUGACGGUACGUGACUAAGAAGCCCCGGCUAACUACGUGCCAGCAGCCGCGGUAAUACGUAGGGGGCAAGCGUUAUCCGGAUUUACUGGGUGGAACGGGAGCGUAGACGGCAGUGCAAGUCUGGAGUGAAAGCCCAUGGCUGAACCAUGGAACUGCUUUGGAAACUGUGCAGCUGGAGGGCAGGAGAGGUAAGCGGAAUUCCUGGUGUAGCGGUGAAAUGCGUAGAUAUUAGGAGGAACACCAGUGGCGAAGGCGGCUUACUGGACUGUAACUGACGUUGAGGCUCGAAAGCGUGGGGAGCAAACAGGAUUAGAUACCCGUGUAGUC
rnacentral:rRNA from 1 species